CGAAGAAAUAGACAUGGCGUGAUAUUGUUUCGGCUUAUCGACUCUAAGGUCUCUAUCCGUUUAGAGUAACCGGUGAGCCGAACCAGUAUCACUCUUGUAUGUUCCUUU
rfam:Helianthus annuus linkage group 15, whole genome shotgun sequence.